UUGGCAACCAUGGAAUGGCCAGCUCCCUGAUGGUGAGGACAGGGGAGGGGCAAUGGAAGCCAAUGGCUACCAUUGUGGAGGGGAAAGAUGCCAGCCAAUGAGGUGAGGGCAGGGAGGAAGGAGAGUCAGCCAGGCAUCCGGAGAGGUCACUAAUCUCCCUCCAUGGCAGCAACAUGGGACCAGCCAUCCCUACCAAAUGCCAACCAACUGCCACCCACAGCGGAGCCCCCUGGAAAAAAGCAGGCUCCAGCCUGUGCCAGGCCAAGCCGUCCAUCCCCGCCAUCUCCCCACAGACUCUGGAGAGGGAUAAGCCGGGCCCCCGAUCCCGGAGUCUUGGGAAUGGCCCCACUCCCGGCCCCACUCUAUGGAAGCCCUCUAGGAGCCCGGAUGUACUCCGACAAGGGCUGAAGCCACAACUAAGGAGGGGCCAAGAAAGAAGCGUCCUUGGCCUUGAGAUGGUUCCACGUCUGAAACGGAGAGAACGUGAUGGAUGGAAACGAGCUUGAGGAAGUGGCCGAGCGUCUCCUUCACUGCUGCCUCCUAAGAUCUUGGGACCUUCCCACGGGACUUGUAGCAAAAACCUCUGCAUGCGUGUUGUCUGCCCUGUAAGAACGUGAACCCUCUCCGACCUUUUCAGCUGGAUGUGCUUUGCACAGAAAAAGCACUUAAUGUAUUAGUAUCAGAUCAUUGAUUAUUAACUAAUUAUAAUUUCUUAUUGUAUUAUAUAUGCUUCAUUCAUUCCUUCAGAUAUGAGUGUCUAUCAAUUUUUUUUUAAUAAACCCUGACCUUCCAUCUUAGGAUCACUACUGUGUGUUAGUUCCAAGGCUGAAGAGUGGUCAGGGCUAGGCAAUGAGGGUCAAGUGACUUGCCCAGGGUCACCCAGCUAGGAAGUGUCUGAGGCCAGAUUGGAACUCAGGACCUCCCAUGUCUGGGCCUAACUCUCCAUCCACUGAGCCACCCAGCUGCCCCCAAUCCACCCAUGUUUAAUUUCAGGACAUCUAACUUGUUGGGUGAACAAAUGAACUGAUAUCUAUCAGGUUUUAAGGUCCCUGAACUGCUUUCCUAAUAAUAAAACCCUAUGGGGAGGUUAAGGGAGAAGGAUUUCCCCCCGUUUUACACAUGAUAUAAAUAAGGCUUAUGAAAAUGAGCUGACUUAUUUGCCCAAGAUCCCACAGAGAGAGGAUUCAAACCGACUCCAUCAAGGAAGAGGAAUGAUGGAAGUUACUAGAAGAAAACAUACUCAAGGAAAUCGUCAGCCGAUUUAGAUUUUUUUUUCAAUGUCCAGAAAAUGAAGCAAAGCCAGAAAACAGAGGAUGGAUAUAAAAAUCAUGGCACACGGAAGGCCCUGAGUUCAAAUCUAGCCUCAGACACUUCCUAGCUGUGUGACCCUGGGCAAGUCACUUAACCCCGUUGCCCAGCCCUUAUUGCUCUUCUGCCUUAGAACUAAUACACAGCAUUGAUUCUAAGAUGGAAGAUCAGGGUUUUUAAAUAAAUAAUUAACAUUUUAAAAAUUAUGGCACAGUCCUAUAAAAAUUGUAUUGAGAAUGCUAAGUCUUAGAAUGAGCCAGAGCUGGUAAAGGAGACCAAUCGGGGACAACAAAAAGGAUUUCAUUUUUUUAAAGCUAUAAACAGGGAGGAGGGAUCAAAGAAGGGAAUCUGGAGGUGAUAUUCCCUGUGCUCGUUGGGCAACAGCUGUACUACAGGGCUCCAUUUUAGGGGACACAGUUUAAGAGAACCCAUUGAAAAGCUGAAGAAGGUCCAGAGGAAGAUCCAGAUGAUGGUGAAGGAAGGACCUUACAUCCAUAUUCUCUAAGGAGAGAUUGAUUGAAGAAGCUAGACAUGGUUAGCUGGAAAAGAAAAGCCAUAAAAGUGGUCGCCACAUAGCUGAAGGGUGGUCAGGUGGUAGAGGGCUUCAUCUUGUUCCAUUUGGCCCUAAAGGGAGGAACCAGGAACAGUGAGGGGAAGUUGGGUCAGAGGGAGCUACCGAAAGAGAGAGGUAAGCUUUGUUUGAGGAAAACACCCUAAUGAGAAGGAUUAUACAGUGAAUUUUAUAGGGGACAGAUUACGUAGUGAACGGGCUUCCAAAGAAGAAGUGGGACUAAAAGCACGAGGUGCUCAACAAGGGGAGUAACCACGUGUUGGACACGUCAAGAGAUUAUGGGCUGGACAGACUAGCUGGCUGCUGGCAUCCGUCCUGAUUGGAGCCCCAUUACCUAUCAGUGAUUAAUAGCCCCCAGUCCCCUUUAAGUAAUCAACAUCCAUUAUCUUUUUCAAAAGGAUAUCAACCUUCAAAAUCGAGCCAGCACAGAAGCACAAAUAUCUUUCUUCUAUCCCUGGGAGUGCUCUCGCUCCAUAAGAAUUCCAUCCCCAGGCAAAGUGGGCUCCGACGGUUUCUACAUAGUAUUUGCCCCACUCAUCAUAAUCUUGGCUACCAGCUCAGGGAAUGGUCUGGAAGAUCCUUCCUCAGGGAUGUAAGAUUUAAAUUAAAAUCGAUAACUCCAAGGAUUAUAUUUCAUAAGAUUUAUUAGUAAUCCCUUGAAGUAGAAUAAACAAAAGAACAAAAGUAUACAGCCUAAGUAAAACCACGUGAGUAAAAUUCUCCUGCCUGGCUCUAACCCAACCUCCAUAAUCGCCUUCCCAGGAACAGAGAGAGCAAGAGGCGGGGCUACACCAAAAUCUAUCCUCCCUAUGUUAGCAUGUGAUGUGAGAAGGAAAAUGGGAAGUUGGGAAAGAGAGUUCUGGGGAGAAAAUUCUAAUUACACAGAGACCUAAUGCUGGCCUGGCUGUCAUGGGUUCUAGACCUCACUCUCCCGACCUCAAGAGCUCAGAAGGUCUUGGUUACAUCCAAUCUCCACCUAAAAGCAGGAAAGAGUAUACCUAACAGAGAGGUAACAGCAGGUUCAUGCCAGCUCUUCAAGAAGGAAAAGGCAGAGAUCCCUCCUCUACCAGCUCAUCCUUCUCCAAUGCCAACAAGUCUAGAAAGAGCCUCCUCCUGGGGAAACUCAUUCUAACUAAAGAGAUGUUUUGAGUAUACACCAAUUCCAGCUUAUGGUCAGCCAAAUAGGCUCCUCUUCACCCCACGGGCAGUGAACCAGAACCAGUUACAAAACGUCUACACCAGCUUAAAAAUCUCUCCAUCAUUAUCCUCUUCUGGAAGCAGGCUCCCCAGGCUCUUCCACAUGGGUCAUUACAUCAGACCUCGUUCCUUUCAUAUAAAUGAUAUAAAUUCAAAAACCAAGCUCCCAGGGUUGUUGUAAUGAUGGUAAAAUUAGAUAAUACGUGUAAAGUGCUUGGUACAGGUGCCUGGCACAUAGUAGGCACUUGUUAUUGUAAGGCAGUUUCUCAGGGAAUCAAGAAAGUCAUUUCAUUUUACUAGUCUUGGAUUUUCUCUCAUAAAAUGAAUUUCCUUCUAUGUUUUCCAGGUCCUUUCCCCCUGUCCCAUCUACCCGCUAUACAGCUACCUAAAGGCAGUCAAGUCAUCAGGCAUUAAGGGUCCAAUAUGUACCAGGCAGUGUGCCAAGGAGAAGGCUCCAAAGAAAGGCAGAAUUGGCCAUCCUCCAGGAGUCUGAAUCUUAAAACCUGGAUGCUGCAAGUAAUCUCCCAAAAGCCUUUGCGGUAAGCCCAGGCACGGGACAGAAGGAUGGGGAAGAGAAGAAUUCGGGUGUCGGGAAAAGCUGCAAUGCCUCCGUUUCCAUUUCUGUUUAACUGGCAGGAAAAACUUGUGUAUAUGCGUACUGAAAAUCAUGGCCAUGGUAGAGAUACAGUGGAUUUCAUUUGUAAGUAAUCGAUCUGUUUCUUUAAAGGACAUAUGUUUUUGUACACAGAGACUGACACACUGUGGUACAAUCAAAGGUAAUGGACUUCUCUACUAGCAGCAAUGUAAUGAUCCGGAACAAUUCAGAAGGACUUAUGAGAAAGAACACCCUCCACAUUCAGAGGAAGAACCGAGGGAGUAGAAACCCAGAAGAAAAACAACUACUCGAUCACAUGUGUCAGUGGGGAUAUGAUUGGGGAUGGAGACUCUAAACAAUCACCCUGGUGCAAACAUCAAUAAUAUGGAAAUAGGUUUUGAUCAAGGACACAGCUACAGGAGGAGGUGGGGGGGUGGGGGGAGAGAACAUGAAUCUUGUAACCAUGGAAUAAUAUUCUAAAUUAACUAAUCAAAUAAAAUUCUCAAAAAAAUAUAAGAAAAACUCAUGAAAUAAUGUAAAAAAAUAGUAUUCUUCAAUCUUUAAAAAAUAAAUUAAUUAAAUUAAAUACAUAUGUUUAUAUAAACUGGAGGAAUGCCAUGUGAACUGGAAGGACAUCCAGUAAUUUAUGCAGAGCGAGAGGAGCAGAACCAGGAGAACACUGUACACAGAAACUGACACACUAUGGUACAAUUGAACGUAAUGGACUUCUCUACCAGCAACAAUGCAAUGAUCCAAAACAUUUCUGAAGGAUUUAUGAAAAAAAAAAAACACUAUCCCCAUUCAGAGGAAAAUCUGUGGGAGUAGAAACACAGAAGACAAACAAGUGCUUGGUCACAUGAUUUGAUGGGGAUAUGACUGGGGAUGCAGACUCUAAGCAAUCACCCCAAUGCAAAUAUCAAUAAUAUGGAAAUAGGUCUUGACCAAAGACACAUGUAAAACCAGAGGAAUUGUGCAUCAGAUAUGGGAGGGGGUUGAGGAGAGGGGAGGGAAAGAACAUGAUUUUUGUAAUCUUGUUCUAGAAAAAUGCUCUAAAUUAAU